AUCAACAAAAAGGGAUGGUGCUUCUCUGCAGGCUUUCACUCUUUGGGGAUUGCACUGCAGCCUACAGUGCUGUGAGGGCGCUCCUUGAGAGUGGCUUCCCAUGCUGGUUGUCUUUGAGGGUAGCGUGGGACUUUUUGGAGAGAUGUGAGAGCAAUGGGUUGUUCUGCUAGUGCAGCUGCUUCCCAGCUGGUGGGUUGGAGGAAACACUUAUAGCAUAGCAAAUGGCAUUUGUUGCAUGUCCAAACCACUGUGUUGAUAAAGCUUUUAAUUCAGCGUGAGCAAAGCAGAUGAAAGGACAUGAGGAAUCACAGUCCCCUUGCAGUCCGUGCUUUUGUCCAUCUGAGGCCACUGCUGUUUUCUUCAAACCAUGCUGGGUAAAGAAACUGGCUCCCACUUGUGUGACUUCUGAGUGCUGUGUAAUCUGCCACUGAGACAAGGAACACUGAGGAAAGAGCAGUUUGGGAUAAUUGAAAAAUAAUGUUUUCUGCUCAUAUAAUGUGUUUACCACUGCAGUGGUUUGUGAAACCAUGUAUGCAGAGCAGUGGCGGGCUGCAGCUCUCAAGGGUGCUCCAGGAUGGCUAAUGUGACAAACAAAUGUAUUCCAGAGCAGCAUCCUUCACAGGGCAGCUGGCACCUUCUGUGUAAUGUGCACUGUGGAUCCUCAGAUCAUGCAACAUCCCAAGUGACAGGGAGUGAAGGUCUCUGUGAGGAGCUGCCUACAUUGCUGAACUGCCAGAGUGAAGAGCUGAAGAGCUACAGUGCGCAAGUAAAUUAGCAGCACACCAGCGGAAAUGCUCACUGCAGAAAAUCAGGCAGAGCCUGCUAGGAUUUGAAGAAAAGUGUUUCUCAUUUUGCACCUUUCUUCAGCUUCCCCGUUACCCACCCAGCCUCCUACUUAUGAAGAAGAUCCUAUUUCUUGUCUAGGUGCUGUUUAUCGACCUUCAAACACAAAAAUGCAGAAAGGGUGGAAGGGAGGAACAUAGCUUCAAGGGAACAGACUACAACAGCAAAUUGGAACAAGCACGGAUGCAGCUUGCAGGUCAGGGUGUAUGUGGGAGAAACUCGUUUGUCUGCAGUGAGGAAGUGUAUCCUCUAAGGAGGCAUCAGCCAGCCUCCAGAAGGGACAGGCAUCAGUGGAGUUAAAAUAUUACUCCCUAGGGGUGACCAUUCACAGUCCAUGGAAAAUGUUAUGCAGCGAAAGGGUUUGCAUGAAUUUCACUUCUGAAAAGACAGAAGAUAUCUGAUGCUAAGAUAUAAUGCUUGAGCUACUGCUGGACAACCAUACUGCUUUACUUUCUGGACACAAAUACCCAGAUCAGCCAUUUAGUUGUGUGCUCCUGCCCACAGAGACAUUCUUAGUGCCCCCUUCGGCUAUUCAUAUUUUAUGUUUUCAGCAGUAACACAGAUACACCAGGAGAAACUUCAAACAAGAUGGUACACCCAUGAUAGUUUAGGUGACUUAGGGUAAACUGUUUUUACAUCCAAAACAGAAUUAUCCCUGAACAGAUAUUACUGCAACUGAAAGAAGCAUCACCUAGAACACAGGGCAUAUCUUCCCAUGCAAUGGAAGGCGAUGACAGUGCCUUCUAUCAGUAUAGUAGUGACUUGCGGAAAAUCAAACUCCAUAACCACAAAGUGGGUAUAAAGCAGGUAUAUUUUUUAUUACAGCACUGUGCAUGCAUGAUGGGUACAGAGGGAGUAGCCCCUCCUAGCCUGCACACCAGAAAGUGACAGUUUGAUGAUACCUAUAGAGACAAGUUAUACAUAUGCGAGAAUAGGAGGGUAUAUUACAAUUGAUUCUAAGAAACCAGGCAUAGAUUAUUGUGAUAUUACAAUUAGAAUAGGAGGGGACAUUACAAUUGAUUCUAAGAAGUUAUUAUCAUAUUCUCCACCCCAGUGGCUGAGUUAUCAUGACUUGAAGGUUAUAGUGGAAUUCCUAAUUCACAGCCUGAACCAAUACAUGAGCCCUGGCACUUGGCUUGCCCUCCUCAGCAUCCCUUCCUGUAGCAUCUGUUUUGCCUUUGUUCUCUUUACACCCCCUUGCCAACUUCAUAACUAAGCAAAAUGCCAUUCUGGAACAAUUCUAAAGUAAUAUGUUCCACAUCAGUAGGGCUGCCUGUUCCAUGCCCACCACCCGUCUGGUGCAGACUUUUUCCCUGACACAGCUCCAUGCCAUUCCCUCGGGCCCUGUCGCUGUCACACAGAGCAGAGCUCAGCGCUGCCCUCCGCUCCCUGUGAGGAGCUGCAACUGCCAUGAGGGGUCAUCUCAGCUCCUCUGCUUUGCGCUGAGAACGCCCAGGGACCGAAGCUGCUUGUCAUAUAUUCUGCCCUCUAGACCCUUCAUCAUCUUUGCAGCCCUCCUUUGGACAAUCUCUUCCAGAUUUAUGUCCUUUUUGUACUGUGGCACCCAGUGCUGGAGGUGAGGCCGCACAGUGCGGAGCAGAGGGGACAGCCCCUCCCCUUGCCCAGUGGCAGUGCUGGGCCUGCUGUACCCCAGGGUACAGUUGGCCCUUUGGGCUCCAGGGCACACUGCUGCCGCAUGUUCAACUUGCUGUCAGACAGGUCCCCAUGAUCCCUUUGCACUCUCCAAACUCUCAUCCCCAGUCUGUAUGUAUAGCCAGGACUGCCCAGUUCCAGAUGCAGAAUCUAGCUCUUGUUCUUGCUUGAAUUCAUUUUAGUAUCUCCAUCCAAUGCCCUUUCAGAUCCUCUAAUCUCCAAUAUAAAUAUUUGUUACCAGAAAACAAAUGAGAAGUAAUAAAAGGUAGACACAAUAAACUCUUGUAGGGAAUGGAGAUAAGAAUCAGAAUAUACUUCUUUUGUUUAAUUCAGUCUUCUGAAAAAGUUAUUUUCAGUUACAUGUAGAAUGCAUUGAAUAGUUCUUUAGUCAUAUUUCACUCUCCAGACUUCAGGUUGUUCAAGCUGUACACUGCUGAUCAAAAAUACUCUGAAGAGUCCAUGAUAAAUCAUAAUCCUUUCCUGGAAUAAGUGGUACAGUUUCUCGUAGAGAUUUGUAGGGUUUUGAUUAUUGUGUGGACACUGCAUUGAAGUGGAAAUGCGUGGUGAUGUUGUCCUCAGUGCAGGGAGGCAUAUAAAUGCAAAGGAUCCAGAGGAACUGAGAAAUAAAGAACAGAAUGAAAAU
ensembl:lncRNA